GAGAGAGGAAAGAGGGAGGAGAGCGGAGGAGAGGCGACAUGGAUCUUGAGGCCAAUUCCUUCCUAGGAGAUGGAUGUUGAAGCGAACUUCUUCUCCUUCCUCCCUCCCUCCGAUCCUUGAGUCUUAACCCUAGACGGAGAGAUGGUCGGCGACGAUGGAAUGGCGGAGAUCCUCCAACUCUUCUGUGCGCGAAGCAAUUUCCAUCCGGAUCUUUUCCUAUCGAGGUAUUUGUAAAGAUCCCCAAAUUACAAGCCCUUGGAUUCUUGACUCUUUCGCUUGUGAUUUCUUUUGCUUCUGUUGUCACGACAUUCGUUUGCAAGAAUGUUGGCAAGAUGUUGUUCUGCAAGAAAAGGAAAUGGGGAUCUCGAAGAGUAUCUCCUCGAACCGUCUUAAGGGCACUUAAUUAAACUUUAUAAUCUAUACCGAUCCUUGAGUCUGACCCCUGAAUGAAUAAGCGACAUAAUAUGGUGGAGAGGUAGAAGAUCCUCUAGAUCUCCUGCGAUGUAUUGGUAAACAUCUCCCAAAAGUAAUCGUUCUUGUAUUCUUGAUUUUUUUUUUAAUCUUGAGUUGAUACGUUUGAUUGUUGAACUGGUUCCUUUUGGUAUUGCAUAACGUGUCCAGAUUGUUUGUGAUUUCUUUUUCUUUUGUUAUUAAGAAUCCUAACAACUUCACAUGUCCUUUCCAAAGAUGUUGUUAGAAUGUCCUUCGGCAAGAAAAUGAGGAUUGGGAUGUGAUUCAUCAUCCUAAAGGUUGAUGAAUUAGAUUAUAACCUUUACCAACUCACUUGAUUCCUCUUUGUUUGUUGUUUGGACUUCUCUUGCAAGAAGUUUAGGUAUGAAAAGUUAGUAAUCGUCUGUCCCAGAAAUUGAUCAUCUGAUUCUUGUGGUUUUUAUUGUCAUAAAUUACCUUUUGUCUGGCACUUCUUAGUGCUAGCCUAAAUGAAAUAGGUUAUUUUGUUAACUAAAUGACACCAUCAUAUUUUCUGACCUUGGGAUCCAUUGGAUCUUUAAUUUGCUUGUUCCUAUUCCUACCUUGGUCUCAUCUUGGGGUCUUAAGACAUGAUGGUUCUUUCAUGAUCUCCUGGUCAUGUUGCAUGUUAUGUUCACAUCUGAGAAUAUAGAAGAAGAUACAGGGUUAUUCUAUGUCUUACAUAUGAAGCUAGCACUGCUUGUGCUUCUUAAUCUGAUCCUAGUGUGAUUAUCAUACUUUUAUGCUACUUUUCUUUAAUUAUUAUUCUUCACAUGAUGAUCAAGAUCAUAAAUAAUGUCACCCCUUUGAAUUUACUUUACAUUUUGACAUAAACAAAUCUCUUCGAUAAGUUUGUUUUUGUUUUCAUAUGUGAGAUUAGCAAUGUUGAUCGGGUUACUAUAUCUUGAUCAAGAUGAUAUCGUAUGUCUUAUAUUAGAAUAUGAUCUGUGAAUCAAGGUCAUGUUGAUAUCUAUCUUUGAUUCCAUUAUGUAAUAAUUAGAUUUGAUUCUAUUAAUUGGUUUAAAAUUAAGUAGCUAAGGAAUGAAUUAUUUAGAUUAGCCUUCAUUUAUAAAAAGCAUGAACUUACCUUAAACUCUAGUUCAUCAUAAGUUUGAAAUUAACUGAUUAUAUAUGUUAUAGAUACGAUUGUGGAUAUAUAAAUACAUUAGGACAUUCUCGUUUAAAUUGUACAGAUUGGAUAUCCAGUCCAAUUAUAACUUGAUUAAGCUUGCCUAAUUUGGUUUCAAUUUUAAUUGACAUGAUCAUAAUAAUUUGUAGUUAUGCAAGCUAAGAUGACACCUGAGUAAGUUUCCAUUAUAAUCCUAAAUAAAUUAGGAUAUCCUCGUUUGAAUUGUACAAAUGCUAUGUUUGGUCCAAUUACAACUUAAGUCGGUAAGUCUAAUUUGUGAUAAGUCAAUUUGAAUUUUGAAUGACUUGUGAUCAUAAUGGUAUUUAAUUUGUGAACAGCAUUUUUAUUCCCCAUGAUAACAUUCCAAUUCAAAGAUUCUUUUAAUCAAAUAUUAACAUCUAACUCUAGUCCUAUGGCCUUCAUAAUGAUAAAUUUGGUCAUGAUUGAUAUCGAGUUCAUUUAAUUAGUAAUUCUUUAUCAUGUCACAUUCAAUUAUAUUACCAGUUUUAAUUUGUUGUAUUUAUGUGGUCAUUUCAUCCUAUGUUCUGGAUCAAAUUAUGUCGACAUAGUUAAGAUCAAGUAGAUCAAAAUUGAUCAUCCAAAGGUUUAUUUAGCAUCCAUGAAAUUCACAAAUUUGACAAGUUAAUAUUAAUAUGUAAUUAAAUAUUUCAUUUUCACUUAAUUAAAUCAAGUGAUGCUUUCAUUUUAAUCCAAAUUUUAGUAUUUUGACCAAGUUGAUGUUUCCACAUGAAGUUGACCCUCCAAGGCCACAUUUUUAAUUAUUUGAUUUCUUGCUUGUUUAUUCUUCAGAUUUUGUUUAUCCGUUUUUAUAGAUGACUUGUUUGCUAAACUUUCCUCUCGUAUUCUGAGUUGAUAUUUUAAGGACUAAGAAAUAUUCUAAAAUGGAAUGCUAGAGUUGGGCAUGCUUCUUGAUUUGAUCCAACCAUAUUAUUAUACUUUUAUGGUGCCUUUUCAUUAGUUAUUCUACAUAAGAUGAUCAAGAUUGUAAAUAAUAAUAUACCUUUGAAUUUAUAAUUGAUUUUAAGAGGCAAUGAAAUUCAAUGACAGGGUUCCCCCCGAAAAUGUUUGUACGAUUUCCAUUGUAAAAUAUGUACCUCCAAUUUGUUCUUUUCAUAUAGUGGAACCAUUUGUGAGGUCGAUUAUAUGAGUUUCAAGAUGAAAAGCUUAGACAUUGCUGUUGGAUAAGAGGUAUGCCAACCGAAAGGAAGUUGCUUAUAACUGCAAGCAUUUGAAAAGCAAGAUCUCUACUAUCAUAUGCUUUGCAAUCUAGACUUGAGGAUCACUUGCACCACAAUUGUCUUAACCUUUUUGGGUUGCUCUAAUUGAAGCAUUUCUAACGUCUAAAGAUGUGGCAAAAAGCUUAAGGCGGAGCAUCGGGGAAGACGUCAAAGAUUAAGCUGCAUUGACUUUGUUUGUUUAUACAUUGAUUUUAUUGCACUGGAAACAAAAGGGUCGAGGGGGUGAAAUCCUUUGUAAAGGUUUGAUGUGGUCAAGGAUAUCCUUUGUAAAGGUUUGAUGUGGUCUAAGGAUAUCCGGUGGUAGGGCAUCUUUUUGUUGAAAUCAGGAUCAAUUAGAUUUGACCAUAUUAUUUGGCUUGGAAUUAAGUAGUUAAGGUUUGACAUAUUUUGCUUAGUUUUAUUCUUAAAGAUUUUUUUAUCACAUGUAUAUUUAGUUGACUAAGCUUGGAGUUAGCUAAUUAAGUACCUGUUAUACAUUUUUAGAUAAAGCCGCUUGCGGCAGGCAUGUCAUACAUUGUUAAUUGCACAAAGGUUAUCGCAUAUGUUCAUAGUUUGAAGGUGAGCGAGCACAUGUCGCUGGCGUAGUUGAUGUGUUCAAAGAUUUGGUGGUUAGACAUUUUGAUUAUUUUUUGUGUUCCGCGUAAAAGUUAUUAUUUUUCACUUUGGCAAUAUUUUCUUAAUUUUUUUAACUAUAAUUUUGUGUUCCGU
rnacentral:lncRNA from 1 species